rnacentral:rRNA from 1 species
CCUACGGGAGGCAGCAGUGAGGAAUAUUGGUCAAUGGACGAGAGUCUGAACCAGCCAAGUAGCGUGAAGGAUGACUGCCCUAUGGGUUGUAAACUUCUUUUAUAUGGGAAUAAAAUGUUCCACGUGUGGGAGUUUGUAUGUACCAUAUGAAUAAGGAUCGGCCAACUCCGUGCCAGCAGCCGCGGUAAUACGGAGGAUCCGAGCGUUAUCCGGAUUUAUUGGGUUUAAAGGGAGCGUAGGUGGAUUGGUAAGUCAGUUGUGAAAGUUUGCGGCUCAAACGUAAAAUUGCAGUUGAAACUGGCAGUCUUGAGUACAGUAGAGGUAGGCGGAAUUCGUGGUGUAGCGGUGAAAUGCUUAGAUAUCACGAAGAACUCCGAUUGCGAAGGCAGCUCACUGGACUGCAACUGACACUGAGGCUCGAAAGUGUGGGUAUCAAACAGGAUUAGAUACCCCAGUAGUC